rnacentral:misc_RNA from 1 species
UAGGGGAUGAAAAGUGACAUGAUGUGAAGGCUGAUUUGGAAGAAAUGGGGAUUAUGGAAGACAACCUUGUCUGUGCAUGCUUUGGAAGGGAGUCAUUGUAUAGAUACAAUAAGGAUGCUGGGGACUCAUAAAAAUAGGCAGCUGGUGGUAUUAAUUGAUAGUGGUAGCACUACUAGUUUCCUUGAUAAAAGAGUGGCUUUGGACUUGAAAUUAAAAUUUAGUGAAGAUUCAUUCUACAGCUGUUACAGAGGCUGAUGGUAGAAAAUUGAGUUGUGAACACAUGA